CUGUACAAAAUUUCUAUAAAUUAGAGUUUAAAAGAUCAUUAACAGUGUAAUUCACACACACAUAAAGAAACAAAAGAAAAGUUUAUAAAUGGAGUUCAUAAAUAGUUAAAAUUGGGUAAAAGGUGUGCUGGUUAAAAGUAUAAAUAUAAUAUCUAGAGUUUAAUAAACAAGACUAUUUACAGUUAAAGUUAAAUUCAUUAUAAAAAUGUUUUUGUUUCAUUUGAGAGAAAAAGUAGAGAAGAAGAAGUUGUGUUUAUCUGUGUAACCUAAUCUGUUACCUGUCACCUGUCAAUCAUUUAAUUCCCGUUUUGCUUUUGGCCUUUUGUUAGUACUUGAGCCAAUCAGAGUAAUAUCAUUGUGUAAGGGGCGGGACUAGUGGGACAGGUUUGUGUGAGGAGUAGUGAGCACGUAUGGAAAACGGAGAACAGACGCUAUAAUGAGAGCGCUAAUGAAGGAGGCAUCGUGGUGUGGGAAGCAUUAAUGUUUUAUGAAGGUCGGCUACUCGUGGUCCUUACAACAAAAAACUUUGGUGUGACCUGCAAGAGAAAAUUGAAACCCAAAAUGAGUUUGUUACUUCACUGGAACCGAUUUUGAGGAAUUUAGGAUGGCAUCACUUGCUCACCAAUCAAGAUCUACAUCUUGGGUGGCAUGCCAUGAGGGCGUUUUUGAAACGGCUGACAGAGGGCCAGAGAGAGAUGGGGGAGGGUAGAGGUGGAAAGAGAAACAGUGAGAAAGAAAGAGAGAAAUGGAGUGACAGUCAGUGACGAAAAGGCCACUUCCUUCCACGAAACCAGCAUCAGCAGAAGACUCAAACCCGCUGCUGCCAAAUUAACUGAUGAAGAUAAAGGGCACACCAAGUCUCACCGACUUUGCAAUUCAAACACAUACUUGCAUUUUCAUGUCCUCUUGACAACAAUGGCUAACACUAGACCCAGACUAAAAAUUAUUCAUUUAAUCAAAAUGGACUAACCUGAAAAUGUUAAUUGCAUAAUUAUGGAGUUAUUUUUUAAGAUGCUGUAAACAUAUCAUCAUCAACCAGAAAAUUCUGACUAAUGCUAACUUGAGUGUGAUAAUUGGUAUGAGUAUAUUUUUUAAUGCUGUCUUUAUUAAUUAAUCUGAAAACAUGAAGAUCUUGCUACUUGUUAUUAAAGCGUCUUAUGACACACACAGUAGUACAGUCCUAAGUCAUAUUUCAUCUUGUCAUUGUGGACAAGGGCAGGCCCAUGCGUUGAAAUGUCCGCUGUAUUAUUUUCAGGCAGUGAUUUCUGUCAAUACCAUCAAGCUCUGUAAGAUAUCCUGUCAACAGUGUCUGAUUCUCACACGCAUGCAAACGCACCACAUAUGCAGUAUGACAGAUCCUUCUGUUAAGUGAAGGCUCCUGCUUGCAUUCACAUUCAAGGGGGAAAGCUCCUGACACAAUCUGCUCCUUUCUCUCUCACUAUCUUUCUCUUUUUACUCCUUUCAUCCUGAUCCUUCUUCCCAGUCUGCAGAGACCGUCUAUCCAACAGAGCGUUUCAAUUCUCUCUUUCUCUUGCACAGUCAGUCUUUCUAUUCCCUACAAGCACUUUCUACACUUUACUAUUGAGGGAAGAAAUGUACAACAGCAGUGAAAAACAAAAAAACAUUUACAUUUUAUUAUGGCUUGACAAAGUCAUGGCUGAGAAACUAAAAAGGCUAUAAAGGAUAGUUCACCC